GGGGAAAGGUUCCAUGUGAA
rnacentral:snRNA from 1 species